UCAGGCCCAGUUUCCAAAGAGGAAGGCUCAGGGACAGAGGGGAGGUCACCUUUCAAGGCCACGUGGCUUAAGAGGCAGCACAGAGAUUCAGACCCAGGAACCCCCAGGAGGUGGGGGCGGAGAACGUCUCAGCACUGAAGGGUCGGCACUGCAGGCCCCAAGGACCCUAGGGCACUCUAAGACAGGUGCCAGGAGGGCUGCCUGCCUGGCAAAGGAUGCGGGGGAAGGGUGUGGGGCAGGCAGUCCUAGGGAGGGGAAGACGGCCCAUCCCGGAGCUGGGUGUGACUGGGGUUCUGCUCCAGGGAGGUGCGAGUUAAAUCGGGGGCUCCCUCCCCCCCACCACUCCACCCACCAUUAACAUCACAAUGACGUCCCUCCGCUGGGGGAGUGAGGCCUUCCCGUUCCCUUGGCAACCGAC
rnacentral:lncRNA from 1 species